rnacentral:misc_RNA from 1 species
CAUUAGCUGCGGGCCUGAACGAAGACGACAACAUGGCAGCGGGUAGUGUUCUUCCCACCUAUCAACGCUAUGUAAAUGGUGUGCCUGUACCGCAAGGACGUAAAACACUGCGUUUAAGAGAGAAAUACAUAAUAUUACUAGUGUUUUUAACAUUUGGGAUAGUAUGUUUUGGGGCAUUUUUCCUUUUACCAGAUCUCCGGGACCGGGUUACAAUGGACGAAAUGAGAAAACAUAUCCAAGAAGCUGGAAACGUCAUAUUUUUCCCACAGGCCGAACUGGGGGCUGAUGGUCACCCUCUUGUUGGGGCGAAAGUUUUGAGGCAUGGUGAUAUGAUCGAUCCUCACAAGAUAGUUGACAAGGCGGAACUUCGGAAAAAAAUCGAUGUUGCAUGGGAACAGCAGAAACUGAAUGAAGCACUCGGUGAUAGGCUAAAUGUGAAACCCGGGGAAGCUCAAGACAUGAAAGACAAAAUUCAAGAAGAAAAAAAUGUAAUCUUGAUGAAGAAGAAAGAAGAAGAACAAUUGGCAAAGCAAGAAGAAAUAAAGAAACAGCUUGAAGUUAAAAAGGAGCAUGAAGGCCAUGCUUUACCUGAUGCAGCAGCAGGGGGCUCUCAUGAUGAUGAGGAAAACAAGAUGAGGAGAGAGAAAGUGAAGGAGAUGAUGAGACAUGCCUGGUCUAACUAUGAGAAGCAUGCUUGGGGAGCAAACGAACUUCGACCCAUCUCAAAACGAGGUCACACUGCCAGCAUCUUUGGAACCCUUUCUCUGGGAGCAACAAUCGUUGACGCCAUUGACACUCUUUACUUGAUGGGCAUGAAUGAAGAGUUCAAGAAGGCCAGAGACUGGAUUGCCACAAGUUUCCACUUUGAAGGGUCUACUGAAUUAUCUGUGUUCGAGACCAACAUCCGGUUUGUGGGUGGGCUACUAGCUUCCUACGCUCUGUCAGGAGACCCGAUGUUCAAGGACAAGGCGAAACAAAUUGCUGACAAGCUCCUCCCAGCCUUCAACACCCCAUCGGGCAUCCCACAGUCCAUGGUGAACAUCAAAACUGGUAGCAGUCGGAACUGGGGUUGGGCCUCUGGAGGCUGCUCCAUCCUGGCUGAGUUUGGAUCUCUACAUCUGGAAUUUGCCUAUCUGUCCUCCAUCACAGGGGAGGAUACAUACCUCAAGAAGGUUCUGAAGAUCCGGGAAGUGCUGCGACAGCUAGAGAAGCCCAAUGGACUCUACCCCAACUACCUGAACCCUCGGACUGGCAAGUGGGGGCAGUUGGCGGUGUCAGUGGGUGCUCUGGGAGACAGCUUCUAUGAGUACCUCCUCAAACAGUGGAUCAUGUCGGGCAAGACAGACACUGUAGCCAAGGACAUGUAUGAUGAAGCAGUGAAGGGUAUUGAGGACAAGCUCAUCCAGACGUCCAGCGGAGGCCUGAAGUACUUCGCCGAAUACAAGUCUGGUCGUCUGGAACACAAGAUGGACCAUAUGUCCUGCUUUGCUGGUGGAAUGUUUGCUUUGGGAGCAGAGGAUUCGAAUGACAAACAGAAAUAUCUCAAUCUUGGUGCGGAGAUUAGCAAGACUUGCUACCAGUCUUAUGAUAGAUCACCAACAAAGCUUGGACCUGAAGCAUUCCGAUUUGACAGCACAACAGAAGCCAAAGCUACAAGACAGAAUGAGAAAUACUAUAUCCUACGGCCUGAGGUGAUAGAAACCCAUUUCUACAUGUGGAGGUUCACAAAGGACAAGAUAUACCGAGACAGGGCCUGGGAGGCUGUGCAGGCUCUGGAGAAAUGGUGUCGUGUGGAUGGUGGGUACAGUGGGAUACGAGAUGUCUACCAGAUCAACCCCCCACAGGACGAUGUACAACAGAGCUUCUUUUUAGCUGAAACACUCAAAUAUUUAUACCUUAUUUUCUCUGAGGAUGAUCUUUUACCUCUAAAUAAGUGGGUACUGAAUACAGAGGCACAUCCCUUACCCAUCCUAUCCUGAAACAACUAGUUCUACUUACAUCUUAUCAUUGAAAUGUGCACAAAACCUUGGUCUUCUUCUAAUAACAUCUGACCUGCAACAUUUAGUGCAUGUUGUCGGGCGUGAGGUGGAAUGUUAUAGUCACUUUAUCUAUGUGUUCUGAAUGGCUGAGUGUGUAAAUACCUGUUAAUGGCAGUGUGCAAGAGUUUGGGAAACUUGAUAAUUUAUCACCAUAUGAAUAUUGUGUUUUGUCUGUCAACAGAGAAGCAUUGUCAUCUAUUAUGUGUUCCUGGGUAGUAUUGGUUUUAUGAAAUCAAUAAUAAGGCAUAUGUAUAUAAGUGUGAUUGCAACAAUUAUUUCAUAAUAUAUGUAUCGAACCUAAAGUUAUGUGUAGAUUAAGUGAGAAGAUAUACAAGUUUGAUUAUUAACACUAAGUUAAACACUUUGUUGUAGGAAAGUAGAUGAAGAUAUUGUGAAUAUUAUUAUUAUCACAUAUUGUGUGAUCAUGUGUGACAAAUGUUAGUGUUCCUUUCAAAAAAUGACUGAAAAGAUUCACAGAAAUGAUACUGUAAUACAACUGUAUGCCGGUGAUGGGUUUGAAUGUUUGUGACCCCCAGAAAGAUUUCCUCAUCAUAUAGAAUUUGACAGUCUCGUGAGAAGAGUAUACAUGCCAGUCUGUGUGUACAUCUGAUGGAGUGAGUGUCCUUUCACCAAGGAUGGAGUUCUUAAGGAGACAGGGAAGCUGUGUUUUCAGGCGCUGCAUUUUCACUGUGCAGGAUUAUCUCCCUUAGUCCUUCCUGGAUCAGGGGUUCAAAUUUGACCUGAUUAUUUAUUAUGCUUGAUCUGUCAACAUUCAUACUUCUUUGUUUCACCAAGAAGAUCAUCACACAACAUCCAGGAUGUUUGGGGUUUUCCUCUAUCAUUAAGCUGACACGUAAACACUGGACGUAAUACUGAAGGUUUAUUGCAAGUCUCGCAUUGUAGCACAUUGUUUCCUGGGUUGACAGUAUGUACACAUAUGCACUAUGUAGAAGGUUAUAACAGCCACAGCCUUGUAGUCGUGCUUUUGUGAUUGUCAUGAUAUUUAGGUAAUGUACAUUCUAAAAUUGCAAGACUGUUAUGUCUCGAAGUUUGAGGAUGUAAUACAGCUCACCCCUGUUACACCAGACACCAUUGCAGACUGGCUCACUUCCACUGUAUACAGGGCCUGUGACAACUGAGUAAUCAAAAAUGUGUCUGGUGUUGUGCAUUGAGAGAUACCUGUGGCCUGUGGAAGGUGUGCAAGGGGUUGUGCUCUGCAACAGUCAUUGAGUGCUAGUGUUAUCGAUGUUGUUUCUCCUCAUUGUUGUGGUGGUUAUUUAAAGGAAAACACUGUUUGGAUGACCAUAGCAUUGUCCUAAAUACUCGUAACAGGCAACUAGUUUGUGAGCACAGUUGAUACGCAGUAGUGUAAUUCGUGUCUACUGUAACAACAUUGUUUGAUGCUAGUACUAUCAACCACAGGUUUGUCGGCCAUCAGGUUGUAGGCCAUCUUGUUCACUACGCAUGAGAUAUUUAGUGAAAUGUUUUAUGUGAUGUCCUUGGUAGUUAUCACCGGAAGACUUAUGUGAACUUCUUUGUAAGGGCUAUCAUAAAGGUUUCUAUUGGUUGAGACUACAGAGAGUGCUUAUAUUUGCUGGUUUUGACAGUCAAGUGUGUCUGUUGUGUUUGUGGACAAGACAACGAAACUCAAUAGGACAAUGUUCAACAGAACAUGUAGAUCAUCAUAUCGUGCAUAUUCUAGAAAGUUAUAUUCAUCUGUUCAAGGUCAUCUGGUUCAAUGAUGUGCCACCUGUGAAAAUCCGGGUUAGAAUUGAUCUUCAGUAACCCAUGCUUGUCGUAAGAGGCGACUAACGGGAUCGGGUGGUCAGGCUCGCUGACUUGGUUGACACAUGUUGUCGGUUCACAAUUUAAGGAUCUUUCCAGCUCAUAACCCUUUUCAUGUUUUCUUUCACUGUCAAACUGUUUACAGUGGUUUCUGUUUGAGGUUGUCUUCAGGUACACAGCAUACACAUCAAAACUCGUGUUUUAUUCAAGGGUCACAUUAUUCUUUCUCUAAUGAUCAUCAGGAAUUGAGCAAGUCGUCUUUUGGCAUUAAAAAUGAUGAUAUUGUGCUA